UACGUAGGUGGCAAGCGUUGUCCGGAUUUAUUGGGUUUAAAGGGUGCGUAGGCGGCUUUGUAAGUCAGUGGUGAAAUAUGGCAGCUUAACUGUCAGGGUGCCAUUGAUACUGCAGAGCUUGAGUACAGAUGAGGUAGGCGGAAUUGACGGUGUAGCGGUGAAAUGCUUAGAGAUCGUCAAGAACACCUAUAGCGAAGGCAGCUUACUAGGCUGUAACUGACGCUGAGGCACGAAAGUGUGGGGAUCAAACAGG
rnacentral:rRNA from 1 species